rnacentral:tRNA from 7 species
AAGGCUUUAUCUUAAUUAAAGUGUCUGUUUUGCAUGCAGAAGAUGUGGGUUAGUGUCCCGCAAGUCUUA